rnacentral:tRNA from 1 species
GUUUCAAUAGUUUCAAUAAAAUAAUGGUCUUGUAAACCGUAGAUGAAUUUACUGUUCUUGAAGCU